GACGAACGCUGGCGGCGUGCCUAAUACAUGCAAGUUGAGCGCUGAAGGUUGGUACUUGUACCGACUGGAUGAGCAGCGAACGGGUGAGUAACGCGUGGGGAAUCUGCCUUUGAGCGGGGGACAACAUUUGGAAACGAAUGCUAAUACCGCAUAAAAACUUUAAACACAAGUUUUAAGUUUGAAAGAUGCAAUUGCAUCACUCAAAGAUGAUCCCGCGUUGUAUUAGCUAGUUGGUGGGGUAAAGGCUCACCAAGGCGAUGAUACAUAGCCGACCUGAGGGGGGGAUUGCCCAAAUGGGGAGUGGAACCGGGCCAAAACUCCUCCGGGAGGGCGCAGUAGGGAAUCUUGGGCAAUGGGGGAAAAUAUGACCGAACAAGGCCGCGUGAGUGAAAAAGGUGUUGGGAUCGUAAAACUGUGUUGGUAGGGAAAAACGUUGGUGGGAGGGGAAGGAUCAACAGGGACGGGAAACGACCAAGAAGGGGAGGGUAAACAAGUG
rnacentral:rRNA from 1 species